GAGUUUGAUCGUGGCUCAGAUUGAACGCUGGCGGCAGGCCUAACACAUGCAAGUCGAGCGGUAGAGAGAAGCUUGCUUCUCUUGAGAGCGGCGGACGGGUGAGUAAUGCCUAGGAAUCUGCCUGGUAGUGGGGGAUAACGCUCGGAAACGGACGCUAAUACCGCAUACGUCCUACGGGAGAAAGCAGGGGACCUUCGGGCCUUGCGCUAUCAGAUGAGCCUAGGUCGGAUUAGCUAGUUGGUGAGGUAAUGGCUCACCAAGGCGACGAUCCGUAACUGGUCUGAGAGGAUGAUCAGUCACACUGGAACUGAGACACGGUCCAGACUCCUACGGGAGGCAGCAGUGGGGAAUAUUGGACAAUGGGCGAAAGCCUGAUCCAGCCAUGCCGCGUGUGUGGAGAAGGUCUUCGGAUUGUAAAGCAUUUUAAGUUGGGAGGAAGGGCAGUAAAUUAAUACUUUGCUGUUUUGACGUUUACCGACAGAAUAAGCACCGGCUAACUCUGUGCCAGCCGCCG
rnacentral:rRNA from 1 species